AGUUGUAUCCUGGCUCAGGAUGAACGCUGGCGGUAUGCUUUACACAUGCAAGUCGUACGAGAGUUUUUAACUCAAGUGGCGGACGGGUGAGUAACACGUAAGAAUUUGCCUUUAGGAGGGGGACAACAACUGGAAACGGCUGCUAAUACCCCAUAUGCUUUCGAGUGAAACGGAUUUAUCCGCCUAGAGAGAAGCUUGCGGCUGAUUAGCUUGUUGGUGAGGUAAUGGCUCACCAAGGCGACGAUCAGUAUCUGGUUUGAGAGGACGAUCAGACACACUGGAACUGAGACACGGUCCAGACUCCUACGGGAGGCAGCAGUGGGGAAUUUUCCGCAAUGGGCGAAAGCCUGACGGAGCAAUACCGCGUGAGGGAUGACUGCCUAUGGGUUGUAAACCUCUUUUUUCAGGGAGGAACAAAAUGACGUGUACCUGAAGAAUAAGCAUCGGCUAACUCCGUGCCAGCAGCCGCGGUAAGACGGAGGAUGCAAGUGUUAUCCGGAAUCACUGGGCGUAAAGCGUCUGUAGGUGGUUUAAUAAGUCAACUGUUAAAUCUUGAGGCUCAACCUCAAAAUCGCAGUCGAAACUAUUAGACUAGAGUAUAGUAGGGGUAAAGGGAAUUUCCAGUGGAG
rnacentral:rRNA from 1 species